AAUGCCGCGAUUUAUAGUAUCGGAGAUUCACACCGAACUCUUUAUGGAAGGAUUCUGAUCCCAUUUUACCGUAUUCGGGCAGAGAUUCCAAGGAAAGCAGCGAAAUUAUGUGACGACGACAUGUGAGGAAGUUUAGGCGUGCUAACAUGAGGUAUGGGGCCCCAAAACAAAAGCAAAUCGUUGGACGGAUGGAGCAGACUGUGGCUGGCAUGGCUGUGGUCGGGCGAGAGGCCGUGUACAAGACCGGGGAGGCCAGGAACCGGGUCGGGGAUGCAGUCGGGGCCGAGGGGAGGGUGGGGCAGUUGUGCGAGGCCGGACGCUGACCUCGCAGGAGCCCCUGAACGAGUGUGAGUGAUGACGUGGGCCUCCCAAGAAGUGGGAAUUUAUUUUCUUACCUAGUUUGUAUCGUUGCCUUGUCCUCGGAACUCCUCAGGAACUUUGUACUUUUGCCACAAGUUAUCUUACUGGUAUGGUAGAGCUUAGUAUGAGAGAUUGUGGACAAAAUCUUCCUUUUAUUGCUUUUUAUUACUUAAUGAUCAAUAAAAUAGGUGGAAACAACUUAACAUAGACUCUCAAGCAAAAUAGUGACUGUAAGCUUUAAUUUGAUGUACAGCAAGCUUAUAUUCCACUUGCCAGACAAUGUCACAACAAAGUUUAUUCAAUGCUACAAGAAUAGUGAUUAUACUCCAUUCAGCACCAAGGACAAUGUUCAAUCAUUGACUUACCUGUAGCAAUACCUGUUUAUUUUCUUACCUCCCAUGUAUCUUUGUCAUGUCCCCAGGACUCAUCAAUAACUUUCUACUGAUGUCAAAAGUUUUUUUUACUGGUGCUGUAGAGAUGAUUGUGACAUAUUGUGGACUCAUCUAUUUUUUAUUGCUUUUUAUGACUUUAUGAUAAAUAUAUUAGGUGCAGAUAACUUAACUUAGACUCUCAAGCAAAGUAGAGACAGCAAGCUUGAAUUUAUGGUACAACAAGCUUUUAUUUCACUUGCCAGACAGUGUCAGAAUGAAGUUUAUUCAACACUGAAGGGAUAGUAGUUAGACAGAAAAGCCAGUUCAGCACCAAGGACAAUGUCCAAGCAUUAACUCACCUGUAGCAAUACCUGCAUGAUUUUUUUUUCUCACAUGGGCAAGAAAAUGUUGUCAGAAGUCUUAAGAUAGAUUGUAGUCAAGAAAUUGACACUGGAAAUGUAUGAUAUGAAAGUAGAAUACAAAAGUUUAAUGAAAAA